rnacentral:lncRNA from 1 species
UUAUGAAAAUAUUUACAAAAUAAAGAUCUUCACUGUCAUUUGGUAGCGAAUUUGGUUCUCUUUGUUCCUAGAAAGCGAGAGCCUUACAACAUGAUCAAUAUCUUUACAAGAGAAACACUGAUAUCGACUCCAAGCAAAAUCACUACAGAUUGGGAUAUGUUCAUAACACUGAAUUAUGAGUAUAAAGGUGCAAAAGUGAUAUAAUACGGUAAAUAUCACAUGAUAUUGGAAUUAAAAUAAAAACAUGGGUAUAUAGUUAAUAGCAGGGAUAUAGUAAACACCCAUUUGCUGGUUAUAUAUUUUGUCAUUUUUUUAAACUUUUUCUUAUUGUGGUUCUUCAUGAUGAUUUAUUAUGCAUCACUUGAAUGUUGAUGCAAAUGUUGAUCGACUGUUUCACCAUAAUCAUACCAUACUUUAGUUUAUAAUCAAAACUCAAUAUAAUAUAGCAUGUAAUUAGGCUAGUGCAUUUGAAAUAUUUACACAUAUGCACAUUGUAAACCAAUAUGUGUCUGUGCUUUUGCAAGAAAAAUGCACCAGGCUGUCUAUGUAGAGCAAAAAUCUUCACAUAUGCGUUGAUAGAUUUCAAAAUU